UCUACAAUAGCAUAUUUAAUGCAAUUAACUGUUAAUUAAAAGAAACUUAUAGUUUGUAGAU
rnacentral:tRNA from 1 species